rnacentral:rRNA from 1 species
UUGCUCUUCAACGAGGAAUGCCUAGUAAGCGCGUGUCAUCAGCACGCGUUGAUUACGUCCCUGCCCUUUGUACACACCGCCCGUCGCUACUACCGAUUGAAUGGCUCAGUGAGGCCUUCGGACUGGCUCGAGGAGGUUGGCAACGACCACCUCAAGCCGGAAAGUUGGUCAAACUCGGUCAUUUAGAGGAAGUAAAAGUCGUAACAAGGUUUCCGUAGGUGAACCUGCGGAAGGAUCAUUACAGAGUUAUCCAACUCCCAAACCCAUGUGAACUUAUCUCUUUGUUGCCUCGGCGCAAGCUACCCGGGACCUCGCGCCCCGGGGCGGCCCGCCGGCGGACAAACCAAAACUCUUGUUAUCUUAGUUGAUUAUCUGAGUGUCUUAUUUAAUAAGUCAAAACUUUCAACAACGGAUCUCUUGGUUCUGGCAUCGAUGAAGAACGCAGCGAAAUGCGAUAAGUAGUGUGAAUUGCAGAAUUCAGUGAAUCAUCGAAUCUUUGAACGCACAUUGCGCCCCUCGGUAUUCCGUGGGGCAUGCCUGUUCGAGCGUCAUCUACACCCUCAAGCUCUGCUUGGUGUUGGGCGUCUGUCCCGCCUCCGCGCGUGGACUCGCCCCAAAUUCAUUGGCAGCGGUCCUUGCCUCCUCUCGCGCAGCACAUUGCGCUUCUCGAGGGGCUACGGCUCGCGUCCAACAAGCACAUUUACCGUCUUUGACCUCGGAUCAGGUAGGGAUACCCGCUGAACUUAAGCAUAUCAAUAAGCGGAGGA